UGCUGGAAAUGGCCUGCUAGCAGUUUGUGUCAGGGCCUGUCAGGCAGAGUGAGGCAACUGCUUCAAGUGGCAGAAAUUGGUGAAAGCCCCCCCACCCCAAAACCCGAGCCAUUUUCCUGUCUUGGAAAUCAGUUGUGCUGCUGGAAUGGAACUGGGAUUGUUAACUUUAAAACAACAGCCUUGCUGUGUGUGCCAAGAUGAACCAAGUGCGGUAGCCAGAAGGCAGGAAAGCAAGAGGCUCAAACCAGAAAAGGCUCCAUUUUCUCCCUCCUUUCUCCCUCCUGAUGAAACAACUGAGCAGAAACUGGACUUAGCUGCCGAGGAAGAGUGAAAAAGCAGAAAGAAAUGAAGUUUCCAAAACAUAAGAAGAUGGUACCAAGGAUAGGUCCUCAUAAAAUACUGACUAAAAUAUUUCCAAAUUAGGAGGCAGGCUGUAAACCUUUUCUUGUCCUAAGAUGAAUUGCUAUUGUUAAGGAAAUAACUGGGGUGGUGAUACCACCUCUCUGUGCAUAUGGUCUUAGACUUUUGCAUUUGUAUUAUCUUGAAGAUGCCAUAAUAAA